rnacentral:rRNA from 1 species
CCUACGGGUGGCAGCAGUGAGGAAUAUUGGUCAAUGGGCGGAAGCCUGAACCAGCCAAGUCGCGUGAGGGAUUAAGGCCCUGCGGGUCGUAAACCUCUUUUGCCGGGGAGCAGUGGUCCGGACGCGUCCGGGCCGGGAGAGUACCCGGAGAAAAAGCAUCGGCUAACUCCGUGCCAGCAGCCGCGGUAAUACGGAGGAUGCGAGCGUUAUCCGGAUUUAUUGGGUUUAAAGGGUGCGUAGGCGGAAUGCCAAGUCAGCGGUAAAAUCGCGGGGCUCAACCUCGCUCCGCCGUUGAAACUGGCGUUCUGGAGUGGGCGAGAAGUAUGCGGAAUGCGUGGUGUAGCGGUGAAAUGCAUAGAUAUCACGCAGAACUCCGAUUGCGAAGGCAGCAUACCGGCGCCCAACUGACGCUGAAGCACGAAAGCGUGGGUAUCGAACAGGAUUAGAUACCCGAGUAGUC